CUGAUCCACCUGCCUCGGCCUCCCAAAGUGCUGGGAUAACAGAUGGGCACUCGUGGAAAAUGUCAUGAAGCACAUAGGCCUAAGGAUAUGUACAGAGCCUUAGAGUUGAAGGAAUGAUAAGAAUGCAGGUCAGAAGAACCUGGAAGAGGGCUUACAAGGAAUCAAAACCAUCUUGCUUCCAAACAGGAAAACAGACAUCACAUCUCCAACUCCUGUGUCCAUCCCAGCUUGUCUCAUACUCCAGUUUUUCAAAUGGAAAAAAUUUGAAAAUGUCUCCAAAUACUGGAAAAAUGACAGUUCAGCAAUAGAAUAUACAGAAGAAGGAACAACAAAAGGAAUGUACAGUCAACUGUAUCGAUGGGGUAGGAGAAUGUAAAUUAUUCAUGUUGAUGAAUACAUGGUUCAUUUGUUUGUUCUUU